GACGAACGCUGGCGGCGUGCUUAACACAUGCAAGUCGAACGGAAAGGCCCUGCUUUUGUGGGGUGCUCGAGUGGCGAACGGGUGAGUAACACGUGAGUAACCUGCCCUUGACUUUGGGAUAACUUCAGGAAACUGGGGCUAAUACCGGAUAGGAGCUCCUGCUGCAUGGUGGGGGUUGGAAAGUUUCGGCGGUUGGGGAUGGACUCGCGGCUUAUCAGCUUGUUGGUGGGGUAGUGGCUUACCAAGGCUUUGACGGGUAGCCGGCCGGAGAGGGUGACCGGCCACAUUGGGCCUGGGAUACGGCCCAGACUCCUACGGGAGGAAGCAGGGGGGAAUAUUGCACAAGGGGCGGAAGCCUGAUGCAGCAACGCCGCGUGCGGGAUGACGGCCUUCGGGUUGUAAACCGCUUUCGCCUGUGACGAAGCGUGAGUGACGGUAAUGGGUAAAGAAGCACCGGCUAACUACGUG
rnacentral:rRNA from 1 species